GACGAACGCUGGCGGCGUGCCUAAUACAUGCAAGUUGAGCGCUGAAGGUUGGUACUUGUACCAACUGGAUGAGCAGCGAACGGGUGAGUAACGCGUGGGGAAUCUGCCUUUGAGCGGGGGACAACAUUUGGAAACGAAUGCUAAUACCGCAUAAAAACUUUAAACACAAGUUUUAAGUUUGAAAGAUGCAAUUGCAUCACUCAAAGAUGAUCCCGCGUUGUAUUAGCUAGUUGGUGAGGUAAAGGCUCACCAAGGCGAUGAUACAUAGCCGACCUGAGAGGGUGAUCGGCCACAUUGGGACUGAGACACGGCCCAAACUCCUACGGGAGGCAGCAGGAGGGAAUCUUCGGCAAUGGACGAAAGUCUGACCGAGCAACGCCGCGGGAGUGAAGAAGGUUGUCGGAUCGUAAAACUCUGUUGGUAGAGAAGAACGUUGGUGAGAGUGGAAAGCUCAUCAAGUGACGGUAACUACCCAGAAAGGGACGGCUAACUACGUG
rnacentral:rRNA from 1 species